rnacentral:rRNA from 1 species
GACGAACGCUGGCGGCGUGCCUAACACAUGCAAGUCGAGCGGGGAUUUAAGUGGAAGUUCUUCGGAAUGGAGAUUUAAAUUCUAGCGGCGGACGGGUGAGUAACGCGUGAACAAUCUGUCCCGGACAGGGGGAUAACACUUGGAAACAGGUGCUAAUACCGCAUAAGACCACGGCCUCGCAUGGGGCUGAGGUAAAAGGAGCAAUCCGGUUCGGGGUGAGUUCGCGUCCGAUUAGCUAGUUGGUGAGGUAACGGCCCACCAAGGCGACGAUCGGUAGCCGGCCUGAGAGGGUGAACGGCCACAUUGGAACUGAGAGACGGUCCAAACUCCUACGGGAGGCAGCAGUGGGGAAUAGUGGGCAAUGGGCGAAAGCCUGACCCAGCAACGCCGCGUGAGGGAAGAAGGUUUUCGGAUUGUAAACCUCUGUCCUAUGGGACGAAGGAAGUGACGGUACCAUAGGAGGAAGCCCCGGCUAACUACGUG